rnacentral:rRNA from 1 species
GUGGGGAAUAUUGGGCAAUGGGCGAAAGCCUGACCCAGCGACGCCGCGUGAGGGAAGACGGUCUUCGGAUUGUAAACCUUAGUUAGCAGGGAAGAAGAAAGUGACGGUACCUGCAGAGAAAGCCACGGCUAACUACGUGCCAGCAGCCGCGGUAAUACGUAGGUGGCAAGCGUUAUCCGGAAUUACUGGGUGUAAAGGGUGUGUAGGCGGGGAUGCAAGUCAGAUGUGAAAAUUACAGGCUUAACCUGUAACCUGCAUUUGAAACUGCGUUUCUUGAGUGUCGGAGAGGUAAAUGGAAUUCCUGGUGUAGCGGUGAAAUGCGUAGAUAUCAGGAGGAACACCGGUGGCGAAGGCGAUUUACUGGACGACAACUGACGCUGAAACACGAAAGCGUGGGGAGCAAACAGGAUUAGAAACCCUAGUAGUCC